CUGUGCGACCUAAAACGUGUUUUGCAAGUCUACGCAAUCCCUAGUAUAGUUUAAAGAAGAAAAGCAGGUGUCUAGAAAACUUAAAGGAGCUUUCAAUCCAGUCACGGGAGCAAUAUCUAGGCUGUGACCACAAAAUCUAACUUCAUAUAGCCACAAAGUGACCCCAGGUACACUAACGUAACAUUUGCAUCCAUUCCAUGGAUUUCCAUUUGCCAUUCAUUUGGACCAACUUGACCCGAAUACACAACGCAGUAGCGCCGCAGGCCAUGAGCAACUGGUCUCCCCCACCACCUCCACAGCUACCGGCUGGUACUCCGCCAGUUCCGAGGCACAGGAACCCUGGGACGCUGAUGCCCCGUACUGCGCUACUUGGAUGCUGAUGGUGGUGCCGC